rnacentral:rRNA from 1 species
GACGAACGCUGGCGGCGUGCUUAACACAUGCAAGUCGAACGGAAAGGCCCUGCUUUUGUGGGGUGCUCGAGUGGCGAACGGGUGAGUAACACGUGAGUAACCUGCCCUUGACUUUGGGAUAACUUCAGGAAACUGGGGCUAAUACCGGAUAGGAGCUCCUGCUGCAUGGUGGGGGUUGGAAAGUUUCGGCGGUUGGGGAUGGACUCGCGGCUUAUCAGCUUGUUGGUGGGGUAGUGGCUUACCAAGGCUUUGACGGGUAGCCGGCCUGAGAGGGUGACCAGCCACAUUGGGACUGAGAUACGGCCCAGACUCCUACGGGAGGCAGCAGUGGGGAAUAUUGCACAAUGGGCGGAAGCCUGAUGCAGCAACGCCGCGUGCGGGAUGGCGGCCUUCGGGUUGUAAACCGCUUUCGCCUGUGACGAAGCGUGAGUGACGGUAAUGGGUAAAGAAGCACCGGCUAACUACGUG